rnacentral:rRNA from 1 species
UACGUAGGUGGCGAGCGUUGUCCGGAUUUACUGGGCGUAAAGGGAGCGUAGGCGGACUUUUAAGUGAGAUGUGAAAUACCCGGGCUCAACUUGGGUGCUGCAUUUCAAACUGGAAGUCUAGAGUGGAGGAGAGGAGAAUGGAAUUCCUAGUGUAGCGGUGAAAUGCGUAGAGAUUAGGAAGAACACCAGUGGCGAAGGCGAUUCUCUGGACUGUAACUGACGCUGAGGCUCGAAAGCGUGGGGAGCAAACAGGAUUAGAUACCCUGGUA